rnacentral:rRNA from 1 species
UACCAGCUCUCCGAGUGGUGUGGAUGUUUAUUGGGCCUAAAGCAUCCGUAGCUGGCUGGGCAAGUCCCCUGUUAAAUCCACCGAUUCAAUCGUUGGAGUGCGGGGGAUACUGCUCGGCUAGGGGACGGGAGAGGCCGACGGUAUUUUCGGGGUAGGGGUGAAAUCCUAUAAUCCCGGAAAGACCACCAGUGGCGAAGGCUGUCGGCUAGAACGCGCCCGACGGUGAGGGAUGAAAGCUGGGGGAGCGAACCGGAUUAGAUACCCGGGUAGUCCCAGCUGUAAACGAUGCAGGCUAGGUGUUUGGGCGGCCACGUGCCGCUCUAGUGCCGCAGGGAAGCCGUUAAGCCUGCCGCCUGGGGAGUACGGCCGCAAGGCUGAAACUUAAGGAAUUGGCGGGGAGCACCACAAGGCGUGAAGCUUGGGGUUC